CUUGGUCACAGAUGCGCCAGCAAGAUGUGCACCAACAAUUUGUCCUCUUUUCUGUUUUCUGCAUCUUACUUGGACGAUGUCAUCACCAUCCAGAUCUGGAAGGUGCCUGUCUUUCACCUGUGACAUGGUCUCCACCGGAUCCAAGUUGAGGACUGACAGUGAACCCAGUCAAGUGCACUGUGGCACAGCAUUAAAUGGAGUACCUUGGCCACAUUGUUGGUCGGGGGUUGGUCAGACCUCGAGUGGUGAAGCAGGAUGCUAUCCACUCUUAAAUUGUGCCUACCACAACGAAGAAAGCCCAGGCUUUUAUGGGAGUGAAGGGAUUAUAUGGGUAACAAAUCCCCAAACUUUGCCAACAGACCUGUGGUACUGACUGACCUCAUGAGAACAUCGCUGUCAAACAAAGUGGGAUGGACAGAGAACUGUCAAAGAGCUUUUCGGGGACCUGAAGAGUGUCAACUCAGCAUGGGUGUCAUGUCUUUCUACUAUGCCAGAGGUUUCUGGAAUUACAGACUUGGAAAUAAAUGGCUGAGAAAGAGUGUUUGGAAAUGAAGUGGGCCGAAGACAGCCUUGGACAACAUUUUGUCCAAGAGACUGACAAUAGUGCCUAGCAGUGGCUAAAACAAAUAAAAUAUUCCAAUACACGUCUCACAAA